rnacentral:rRNA from 1 species
UACGUAGGGGGCAAGCGUUGUCCGGAUUUAUUGGGCGUAAAGAGCGUGUAGGCGGUUUGGUAGGUCCGCUGUGAAAACUCGAGGCUCAACCUCGAGACGCCGGUGGAAACCAUCAGGCUAGAGUCCGGAAGAGGAGAGUGGAAUUCCUGGUGUAGCGGUGAAAUGCGCAGAUAUCAGGAAGAACACCCGUGGCUAAGGCGGCUCUCUGGGCCGGAACUGACGCUGAGGAGCGAAAGCGUGGGGAGCAAACAGG